ensembl:lncRNA
GAAGUGUGAUGUCUUUUAAUAGAUCUAAAAAUGAGCAAAGCUCCUGCUGGUGCAGCCAGUUCAUGGUGUAUCCUGUCCCAUUCACAACCCAGAAGUGUGUUUUCCAGGUCUCAGGGAAACUUUCUGAAAUGAAACACAUUUCCCCAUUGGUUGCAGGAAAGCAGGUCGAUGUAGGAGAGCUGAAGUCUCACCCAGCCCCUAUGGAAGUGCAUCUACUGAACGUUGAUCACCACCAGGCCCUGGGGGAUGUGCCUGUGAACGGAGUAUUUCUCCCUCAGCCAUGCUCCAUCUCCCCCUGUGCC